rnacentral:rRNA from 1 species
GACGAACGCUGGCGGCGUGCUUAACACAUGCAAGUCGAACGAAGUGGCGAACGGGUGAGUAACACGUGCGUAACCUGCCCUCUUCUUUGGGAUAACGGUCGGAAACGGCUUCUAAUAAUGGAUAGUGGGGGAUGGGCUCGCGGCCUAUCCGCUUGUUGGUGGGGUUAUGGCCUACCAAGGCUUUGACGGGUAACCGGCGUGAGAGGGUGACCGGUGACAUUGGGACUGAGAGAGGCCCCAGACGCCUACGGGAGUCAGCAGUAGGGAAUAUUGGACGAUGGGCUGAAGCCGGAUGCAGCGACGACGCGUGAGGGAUGUAGGCCUUCGGGUUGUAAUCCUUUGUCGCUAAUGGUCGGGUAGUGGGUAAAGAAGCGCCGGCUAACUACGUGCCAGCAGCCGCGGUAAUUC